UACAGAGGUCCCAAGCGUUGUCCGGAUUUACUGGGCGUAAAGAGCGCGCAGGCGGUCGAUCAAGUCGAGUGUGAAAGCCCCCGGCUCAACUGGGGAGGGUCAUUCGAUACUGAUCGACUCGAAGGCAGGAGAGGGUAGUGGAAUUCCCGGUGUAGUGGUGAAAUGCGUAGAUAUCGGGAGGAACACCAGUGGCGAAGGCGACUACCUGGCCUGUUCUUGACGCUGAGGCGCGAAAGCUAGGGGAGCAAACGGG
rnacentral:rRNA from 1 species